UUAAGUUGAGACUAAAAAUUUUGUUUGCUAAGUUCCAAUUUCAAAGUACUGUUCUCAUACACAUCAACUCAUAGCUCUGUGCAUGCUAUGUACAAUAUGCUUUGUAUAUGAGAGCGCAUCUCUUUCUUACAUUUCAGACAAUUUCAGGCCAAACAUCAUCUUAAUUUCCUUUUGAACUUUAAGAGUUUCAAUUAUAUAGUUUCUAAUGCUAAUCAAGGG
rnacentral:lncRNA from 1 species